CGUGUAGGCGGCUUGGCAAGUCGGUUGUGAAAGCCCGGGGCCCAACCCCGGAACUGCAUCUGAAACUGCCUGGCUAGAGUCCCGGAGAGGAAGGCAGAAUUCCCGGUGUAGGGGUGAAAUCCGUAGAUAUCGGGAGGAAUACCAGCGGCGAAGGCGGCCUUCUGGACGGUGACUGACGCUGAGACGCGAAAGCGUGGGGAGCAAACAGGAUUAGAUACCCUGGUAGUCCACGCCGUAAACGUUGAGUGCUAGGUGUCGCGGGUAUUGACCCCUGCGGUGCCGUCGUUAACGCAUUUAGCACUCCGCCUGGGGAGUACGGUCGCAAGGCUAAA
rnacentral:rRNA from 1 species